UUCGAUGGUAGGAUAGAGGCCUACCAUGGUUUUAACGGGUAACGGAGAAUUAGGGUUCGAUUCCGGAGAGGGAGCCUGAGAAACGGCUACCACAUCCAAGGAAGGCAGCAGGCGCGCAAAUUACCCAAUCCUGAUACAGGGAGGUAGUGACAAUAAAUAACAAUACAGGGCUCUAUGAGUCUUGUAAUUGGAAUGAGUACAAUUUACAUCUCUUAACGAGAACCAAUUGGAGGGCAAGUCUGGUGCCAGCAGCCGCGGUAAUUCCAGCUCCAAUAGCGUAUAUUAAAGUUGUUGCAGUUAAAAAGCUCGUAGUUGAAUUUUGGGCCUGGUUGAUUGGUCUGCCUUUGGUAUGAACUAAUCGACUGGGCCUUUCCUUCUGGCGAACUAUUGUGCUAUUCAUUUAGUGCGAUAGGGAUCCAGGACUUUUACUUUGA
rnacentral:rRNA from 1 species